AGUGAACGCUGGCGGUAGGCCUAACACAUGCAAGUCGAACGGCAGCACAGUAAGAGCUUGCUCUUACGGGUGGCGAGUGGCGGACGGGUGAGGAAUACAUCGGAAUCUACUUUUUCGUGGGGGAUAACGUAGGGAAACUUACGCUAAUACCGCAUACGACCUACGGGUGAAAGCAGGGGAUCUUCGGACCUUGCGCGAUUGAAUGAGCCGAUGUCGGAUUAGCUAGUUGGCGGGGUAAAGGCCCACCAAGGCGACGAUCCGUAGCUGGUCUGAGAGGAUGAUCAGCCACACUGGAGCGGAGACACGGUCCAGACUCCUACGGGAGGCAGCAGUGGGGAAUAUUGGACAAUGGGCGCAAGCCUGAUCCAGCCAUACCGCGUGGGUGAAGAAGGCCUUCGGGUUGUAAAGCCCUUUUGUUGGGAAAGAAAAGCAGCAGGUUAAUACCACGCUGUUCUGACGGUACCCAAAGAAUAAGCACCGGCUAACUUCGUG
rnacentral:rRNA from 1 species